CAAUAGCGUAUAUUAAAGUUGUUGCAGUUAAAAAGCUCGUAGUUGGAUUUCUGUGAGAGUGCCGGUGUCGGCUGAUGCUUGUACGCAGGCGCUCUUACAUCCUUCUGUUAACUGAUCUUGGCAUUUUAUUGCUGGUUCAGGGCUCAGAUAUUUUACCUUGAGAAAAUUAGAGUGUUUCAGGCAGGCUUAUGCCGGAAUACAUUAGCAUGGAAUAAUGGAACAGGACCUGUGCGUCUUUCGGGGCGCCGGUCUCCGUUAUUGGUUUCGGGGACUAAAGUAAUGAUUAAUAGGGAUAGUUGGGGGCAUUAGUAUUUAAUAGUCAGAGGUGAAAUUCUCGGAUUUGUUAAAGACUAACUUAUGCGAAAGCAUUUGCCAAGGAUGUUUUCAUUGA
rnacentral:rRNA from 1 species